GUGGGGAAUCUUGCGCAAUGGGCGAAAGCCUGACGCAGCCAUGCCGCGUGAAUGAUGAAGGUCUUAGGAUUGUAAAAUUCUUUCACCGGGGACGAUAAUGACGGUACCCGGAGAAGAAGCUCCGGCUAACUUCGUGCCAGCAGCCGCGGUAAUACGAAGGGGGCUAGCGUUGCUCGGAAUUACUGGGCGUAAAGGGCGCGUAGGCGGACAGCUUAGUCAGAGGUGAAAGCCCAGGGCUCAACCUUGGAAUUGCCUUUGAUACUGGCUGUCUUGAGUUUGGGAGAGGUGGGUGGAACUCCGAGUGUAGAGGUGAAAUUCGUAGAUAUUCGGAAGAACACCAGUGGCGAAGGCGACUCACUGGCCCAAUACUGACGCUGAGGCGCGAAAGCGUGGGGAGCAAACAGGAUUAGAAACCCUUGUAGUCC
rnacentral:rRNA from 1 species